AUAGUGGUGAAGCCGAGUUAAAGCACAUGCUGCUAAACCUAAUGACCGUCUUAGCUCAGUCUUAAGUUGGAAAAAAUAAAGAGAAGUUACCAUGAAUUCUUGCAGAAUUGGGCUGCUCUGCGCUAGGUUACAAGAGGAAUCUAUGGCAGGAAGAACAUGGAUGAUGAAACUGCUCAAAAAGAUCCAGAAGCAAUGAUGGAAUAAAGGAGCUCACACAGCACAGAAAGUCUUUGUGCGAAUGAAACAAGAUCGCCCUUGGAAUAAACAUGCCACAUUUUCAAGCGUUAACAACCAACUCCAAGACUGAAGGCUGCAAAAGAUGCACUUGGGCUUGGGCUAAUGUAGUGGGAAAUUAGAAACUGUGGUCUGUUUAUUACUCAAAGAUCCAGGAGGAAUUGAAAGGCCCUAGUGAGGUGUACGUAUCUUCAGUGUGCACCAAAUUCCCACUUUGCAGGAAUUUCUUGAAAAGGAUUUUGCUGUAAUUUGGGAAUUGUCUAUAAUUACAGUUUCUUGCUUCAAGGGAUUCAUAUUUGGCUACGAAAGGCAAGUGCUCAAGUGAGGGCCUCAGAUGAUGAGUCAAGAUUGUAUUGGAAGCGGGGUGCAGUGUCUAUCCCUGUGAGUUAGGCUGAGAAGACCAUCUUUCAGUCAUACAGUCUAAGAAUUAGGAAGAAACCUGUCUUCACAUGUGUUUUUAAAAUAAUGACUUCAAUUCUAGGAGACAGGAAUUGUUAUCUUCUUUCACAGCUGAAGAAAUGGAGGCACUGAGGUGUGAGUGAAUGGUCCACAGUCAUCUGGCUGGUGACUGAAGGAGUCAAAAGUGAACUUGGCAGUAAAAUUCAAGACCUCUCUGUCCUUGUCUUAUCUCUAUCCACAUCCACACAUACUGGUUGGUGAGAUCUGGGGAUGUCUAUUGGUAGUGACAAAGGAGUAAAUUACCCAGGGUGGAACUGGACACUGUGCUUUGUGCACUCUCCUUUUAUUAUUAAUCACAUCACAAGCUUCUUGAGAUAGGUAUCUUUUUGCUUUUUAACAUAUGGAUCCACCAAAUCA
rnacentral:lncRNA from 1 species